AUACCCUACUUACAUCUAUACUACAAUUGUCAAAAAGAGGGUUUAAUUUGUGUGUCAAGUAAUUCUCACAUCAGUAUCCCAUCAAAACGAUCGAUUCACUAACACUUAAAGUUUAUUUAUACUUUUAUUAAGUACAACAUAAGAUUUUGUGGUAUCCACUUAUGUAAAUAUUUUAAAUUGACGAUCAAAUUCAUUCAUUGUAUUUGUAUAGGGUCAAGGAGUGUAGUUGAAAAAAAUCAUCAAAAUCGGAGUUAAAAUAACCGUUAAAUCGUGAUUUGUUGUUUUAUAACCGUCAAAAAGUUUUGUCUCAUUUCUUGAUCUUUGAAUGUUUGUUUUUGUGAUUUUUGGCGAAUGUGAUCUUGAAGCAUAUACAAACAAGUUUGACGGUUGGAUUGUUAAAAUUAGUUUCAUAGAAUUCGUAUCCCAUCAAAACGAUACAUUCACUAACACUUGGAGUUUAUUUAUACUUUCAUUAAGUAUAACAUAAGAUUUUGUAGUAUCCACUUGUGUAAAUAUUUUAAAUUGACGAUCAAAUUCAUUCAUUGUAUUCAUAUAGGGUCAAGGAGUGUACUUGUAAAAAAUCAUCAAAAUCGGAGUUAAAAUAACCGUUAAAUCGUGAUUUUUUGUUUUAUAACCGUCGAAACGUUUUGUCUCAUUACUUGAUCUUUGAAUGUUUGUUUUUUGUGAUUUUUGGCAUAUGUGAUCUCGAAGCAUAUACAAACAAGUUUGACGGUUGGAUCGUUAAAAUUAGUUUCAUAUAAUUCGUAUCCUAUCAAAACGAUAGAUUCACUAGCACUGAGUUUAUUUAUACUUUCAUUAAGUAUAACAUAAGAUUUUGUGGUAUCCACUUGUGUAAAUAUUUUAAAUUGAAGAUCAAAUUCAUUCAUUGUAUUCAUAUAGGGUCAAGGAGUGUAGUUGUAAAAAAUCAUCAAAAUCAGAGUUAAAAUAACCGUUAAAUCGUGAUUUUUUGUUUUAUAACCGCCAAAAAGUUUUGUCUCAUUACUUGAUCUCUAAAUAUUUUUUUUGUUGUGAUUUUUGGCGUAUGCGAUCUCGAAGCAUAUACAAACAAGUGUGACGGUUGGAUCGUUAAAAUUAGUUUCAUAGAAUUCGUAUCCCAUCAAAACGAUAGAUUCACUAACACUUAGAGUUUAUUUAUACUUUCAUUAAGUAUAACAUAAGAUUUGGUGGUAUCCACUUGUGUAAAUAUUUUAAAUUGACAAUCAAAUUCAUUCAUUGUAUUCGUAUAGGGUCAAGGAGUGUACUUGUAAAAAAUCAUCAAAAUCGGAGUUAAAAUAACCGUUAAAUCGUGAUUUUUUGUUUUAUAACUGUCGAAAAGUUUUGUCUCAUUACUCUAUCUAUGAAUGUUUGUUUUUUCUGAUUUUUGGUGUAUGCAAUCUCAAAGCAUAUACAAACAAGUUUGACGGUUUGAUCAUUAAAAUUAGUUUCAUAGAAUUUGUAUCUAAUCAAAACGAUAAAUUCACUAACACUUAGAGUUUAUUUAUACUUUCAUUAAGUAUAACAUAAGAUUUUGUGGUAUCCACUUGUGUAAAUAUUUUAAAUUGAAGAUCAAAUUCAUUCAUUGUAUUCGUAUAGGGUCAAGGAGUGUACUUGUAAAAAAUCAUCAAAAUCGGAGUUAAAAUAACCGUUAAAUCGUGAUUUUUUGUUUUAUAACCGUCGAAAAGUUUUGUCUCAUUACUUGAUCUCUGAAUGUUUGUUUUUUGUGAUUUUUGGCGUAUGCGAUCUCGAAGCAUAUACAAACAAGUUUGAAGGUUGGAUCGUUGAAAUUAGUUUCAUAGAAUUUGUAUCUCAUCAAAACGAUAGAUUCACUAACAUUUAGAGAUAAUUUAUACUUUCAUUAAGUAUAACAUAAGAUUAUGUGGUAUUCACUAGUGUAAAUAUUUUAAAUUGAAAAUCGAAUUCAUUCAUUGUAUUCAUAUAGGGUCAACGAGUGUAGCUAUAAAAAAUCAUCAAAAUCGGAGUUAAAAUAACCGUUAAAUCACAAUUUUUUUGUUUUAUAACCGUCGAAAAGUUUUGUCCCGUUACUUGAUCUCUAAAUGUUUUUUUUUUGCAAAUUUUUGUUGAUGCAAUCUCGAAGCAUAUGCAAACAAGUUUAACGGUUGGAUCGUUGAAAUUAGUUUCGUGUAUCCCAUCAAGUUCAAUGGUGUGUGUAUAUAUAUUAUGUAGAUUUAAAUGUAUUUAUUUUGUAUGUAUAAUU
rnacentral:lncRNA from 1 species